CUUGAGUGGGGGGGGGAGGAGGAGCAAAACGUAAAAUGUUAUCAGCACUAAAUCAUCCAACUAAAACUGCAGGAUUAGGCAGUGAGAUCAGCCAGUAAUAACCGAGGACUUUGUCGUUCCUUUUCUUAGUGGAACAGCACAACUCCGACAAGCUCUUUAUUGCACUGCCUGCUGCAUUUCACAAACACACCUUUAAAGGUAUAAGGUAAUCCAACCAAUCAGUCCUGAACUCAGAUGCUGUGUCAUACAUUUCCGAACACAUUUAAGUCUCUCUCCCACACAAACCAGCAAACUUGUGCAACUCCAUGUAGUCAUUGAACACUGCCAACUAGAAGACUAUACUUUCUUUCAUGGUUCUCUCUCCACAACAGGCUAAUAGCUACUUUAGAGUUUAUUUAAUGAGUGUGGAUUUCUUUUCAGCUUCAGGUGAGCAUCUACACACAUGGCAGGCGGUGGCAAAGCUACACUCCCUCAACCAGACGGCUAAGAAGCAUCAGACAUUGAGAGAAAGACCUGAUCGGAUUGAAGAAGGGUCUGAAGAAGGGUCUCGACCGAAAAAGCUGCCUAUCCAUGUACCCUAGAGAUGCUGCCUGACCCGCUGAGUUACUCCAGCACUUUGUGUCUUUCUUUGUAAACCAACAUCUGCUGUUCCUUAUUUUUCUCUCAUUUUGCCGUCUAUUCUGUCGCUCUCUACAUGUGUUUAAAGUAUUCACAGUGGUACAGUUGCUCGGGUUAUAAAUUGAAUGUUGUAUAAUAUUGAUACAUGCUUGUACUAGACACUAGACUAGUGUGUAGUUAAGACCUACCUUCAUCAGUAAAAAAUGUUUUGUUUACAA